GCUUUAAGAAGCACUUCCUGGUUGGUGAGGUUCUUGGUUGAAUGUAAGCUGUGAUUCAGCAGUUUGGAAGAAAGCCGUAGGCUUGCUGGUUCCAGGUUCCAAAACCAGAAGGAAAGUGUUACUUGGGGUGGAAUUGCCUUGUGAAAACCUUUACAAGGGAAACAGACAUGGAAAAGGUUGAGUACUACAGAAGCUGAGUAAAUAAAUCCAGAGUAGAAGAGUUACAGCAAGUGCAUUUCAUUCUCUGGGAGUGACAAAGUAACAACAUUUCAUAUAAGAACACCUCAUUGAUGCUCAGCAACAGAAAUUGUUUGUGACCAACGUGGCAACAACAUCCCAACAAUCUAAAUAUAACCAUAGUCGUUUUAAGUUUUUAGAUUACUGGCAGUAAAAAGAACACUUCAAAAAAGCCUAGCACAUUUUAACAUCUGGCGCCCUAUGUUUUUAUAUUCUAAAAUAUUCACGUGCUUUGGCAUGAGGAAAAAUAAAAUUGUACCUUAGUUUUCA